rnacentral:rRNA from 1 species
CCAGACUCCUACGGGAGGCAGCAGUGAGGAAUAUUGGUCAAUGGGCUUACGCCUGAACCAGCCAAGUCGCGUGAGGGAAGACUGCCCUAUGGGUUGUAAACCUCUUUUGUCAGGGAGCAACGCCGGCUACGUGUAGCCGGACUGAGAGUACCUGAAGAAAAAGCAUCGGCUAACUCCGUGCCAGCAGCCGCGGUAAUACGGAGGAUGCGAGCGUUAUCCGGAUUUAUUGGGUUUAAAGGGUGCGCAGGCGGAAUGUCAAGUCAGCGGUAAAAUUUCGGGGCUCAACCCCGUCGUGCCGUUGAAACUGACGGUCUUGAGUGGGCGAGAAGUAUGCGGAAUGCGUGGUGUAGCGGUGAAAUGCAUAGAUAUCACGCAGAACUCCGAUUGCGAAGGCAGCAUACCGGCGCCCAACUGACGCUGAAGCACGAAAGCGUGGGUAUCGAACAGGAUUAGAUACCCCAGUAAAU